rnacentral:tRNA from 1 species
CGGGACGUGGCGCAGUCUGGCUAGCGUACUAGUCUGGGGGACUAGGGGCCGCCGGUUCGAAUCCGGCCGUCCCGACCA